UACUGAGAACUUUGACAUCUAUCGCGUUAACCAUUACCUUUGUAUUAAAUUUAGUAUUUUCCCUCAAUUAUUUUCCUUGCUAUGAAAUAUUCGAAUGACGUUGACGGGCGUCUUAAUUGGUGCCGUCACUUCACAUCAAAAUCAUCCGGGUUUGUGGAUAUAGUGUUGCUACGGAAACUUCGAUUGCUUUGUUACUAUAACUUAUUAUUAGCGAAAAUAUUGCAAUGGCUUAUACACUGAAAGGUUUCGCCAGUGAUGUUUGAAGUACUUUGUAAUAACAGAAGCAUGAUUUCGAUAUUAAAUGUUUGAUAGUAUUCAAUUUACUUUCUUUACCUUCAAUAUUCAUUUGUUUUGUUUAAGGACUCAAUCGAUCAAUCAAAAGUACUUAAGAUAAAGUUAUGUACAAAAAUGGGCAACGAAAAUAUUGAAAUUGAAUUUCUUAGAAAUCAUAAAAAAAAAUUCAAUGAAAGAGUAUCAUUUAUGCGUAGCAAUUUGGAAUCAGCAGAAUUUUCAUUGCAUUGACAAAAGCAUCGUAAAAUAUGAGCCAGAUGUUUUCAUCAUCUUAAAAGAAAAUAUCAAAAGUGUCAAUCAACGGUAGUGAUGAUAAAAUAUUAGGGAUUUUUUACCAUUCCAAAAUUUUCAAUAGACAAUUCCAUCAUUUUGCCAGCAGUCAAUUUACAAGGUGUCUGACUUCUCAUUGUCAUCAAAAGUGUCAAUUUUUGUGAGUUUUUCGAAAUAUUGUACCACUUCAUGUUAGCUCUAAGUAAAAAUUGAUAAGUUAUAUUAUGAAAUUUUGGAAAAUU